rnacentral:rRNA from 1 species
UAUCAGUAAGCGGAGGAAAAGAAACUAACCAGGAUUCUCCUAGUAACGGCGAGUGAACGGAGAUUAGCCCAGCACCGAAGCCUACUGUCAUGUGGCAGAAGGGCAAUGUGGUGUUUAGACUGGUAUCUGAGGCGGCUGGGUAGCUCGAAGUCCAUCUUUGAAUGUGGCUUGAAUUUGACCAGAGCGGGUGGAAGUCCCGUCCCGGGUUACCCUCCAGUUUUGAUUGUCGCCUUUAGAUAUGCCGGUCUUGGAGUCGGAUUGCUUGAGAAUGCAGUCCUAAGUGGGUGGUAAACUCCAUCCAAGGCUAAAUACCUGCACGAGUCCGAUAGCGAACAAGUACCGUGAGGGAAAGUUGAAAAGUACUCUGAAGAGAGAGUAAAUAGUACGUGAAACCACUCGUAUGGAAGCGGAUGGAGUCCAGCUGCGAACUGCUUGGAUUAAGUCGGCGUGAUAGUGUUUGUUCUCGCCUCACGUGGUUGGCUUGUAAAGGGCUAGACGGACUUGUCCGUUUGGUGUCUUGACAGGUUAGUUGUCAUUCUGCCGCGUGAGUAUAAAGCGUGUACACGCCGAUGUGUUUCCUUGCGGUUAGCAUCACAAUCGAUAACGCUGCCAGUCUGCGGCUGUCUAACUCAAUUUGAUUGGCCUCGAAGUCGAUCGGGUUGAGGAGGGCAGGUUGCCGUAUCAUAGUUUCGGCUGUGGUUAUGGUGCAAGAAGGCUUUGGCCGGCUGAUGGCCGUGUUAAGCAUUCAACUGUGCGGUAUAUCGGGUGUAGCGCAGAUUGUGUUUGUUGCGUCUUGGGUGCGGGUGAUGGGGUGUGUCGUGUAACAGCGUCCGUUCUGUCCUUCCGUAUUCGGGGUGUGAUGAUGCGGUCUGUGUGAAUUGUGGUGUUGUGGUAGACUUUCCAUCUGA